rnacentral:rRNA from 1 species
GACCUGAUGCAGCCAUGCCGCGUGUGUGAAGAAGGCCUUCGGGUUGUAAAGCACUUUCAGUUGUGAGGAAAAGUUAGUAGUUAAUACCUGCUAGCCGUGACGUUAACAACAGAAGAAGCACCGGCUAACUCCGUGCCAGCAGCCGCGGUAAUACGGAGGGUGCGAGCGUUAAUCGGAAUUACUGGGCGUAAAGCGCACGCAGGCGGUUUGUUAAGCUAGAUGUGAAAGCCCCGGGCUCAACCUGGGAUGGUCAUUUAGAACUGGCAGACUAGAGUCUUGGAGAGGGGAGUGGAAUUCCAGGUGUAGCGGUGAAAUGCGUAGAUAUCUGGAGGAACAUCAGUGGCGAAGGCGACUCCCUGGCCAAAGACUGACGCUCAUGUGCGAAAGUGUGGGUAGCGAACAGGAUUAGAUACCCUGGUAGUCCACACCGUAAACGCUGUCUACUAGCUGUGUGUGCCUUUAAGGCGUGCGUAGCGAAGCUAACGCGCUAAGUAGACCGCCUGGGGAGUACGGCCGCAAGGUUAAAACUCAA